rfam:Solanum lycopersicum cultivar Heinz 1706 chromosome 7, whole genome shotgun sequence.
CACCAAUGAGGAAGACAUCCCAGGAAUAGGAAGUGCCGUAUGACACUUUAAACAGCAGCGGUGGC